GACGAACGCUGGCGGCGUGCCUAAUACAUGCAAGUUGAGCGCUGAAGGUUGGUACUUGUACCAACUGGAUGAGCAGCGAACGGGUGAGUAACGCGUGGGGAAUCUGCCUUUGAGCGGGGGACAACAUUUGGAAACGAAUGCUAAUACCGCAUAAAAACUUUAAACACAAGUUUUAAGUUUGAAAGAUGCAAUUGCAUCACUCAAAGAUGAUCCCGCGUUGUAUUAGCUAGUUGGUGAGGUUAAGGCUCACCAAGGCGAUGAUACAUAGCCGACCUGAGAGGGUGAUCGGCCACAUUGGGACUGAGACACGGCCCAAACUGCUACGGGAGGCAGCAGUAGGGAAUCUUCGGCAAUGGACGAAAGUCUGACCGAGCAACGCCGCGGGAGUGAAGAAGGUUGUCGGAUCGUAAAACUCGGUUGGUAGAGAAGAACGUUGGUGAGAGUGGAAAGCUCAUCAAGUGACGGUAACUACCCAGAAAGGGACGGCUAACUACGUG
rnacentral:rRNA from 1 species